rnacentral:rRNA from 1 species
CCUACGGGAGGCAGCAGUGGGGAAUAUUGGGCAAUGGCGCAAGCCUGACCCAGCAACGGCGCGGGAAGGAAGAAGGCUUUUGGGUUGUAAACUUCUUUUUCUAGGGACCAAGAAAGUUACCGUACCCUAGGAAUUAGCCAAGGGUAACCACGUGCCAGCAGCCGCGGUAAUUCGUAGGUGGCAAGCGUUAACCGGAUUUACUGGGGGUAAAGGGCGUGUAGGCGGGAAAGCAAGUCAGAUGUGAAAACCAUGGGCCCAACCUGUGGCCUGCAUUUGAAACUGUUUUUCUUGAGUACUGGAGAGGCAGACGGAAUUCCUCGUGUAGCGGUGAAAUGCGUAGAUAUGAGGAGGAACACCAGUGGCGAAGGCGGUCUGCUGGACAGCAACUGACGCUGAGGCGCGAAAGCGUGGGGAGCAAACAGGAUUAGAUACCCGGGUAGUC